AUGCAAAAAUACAGCAAAACUGCAAAUGGCUCAUUAAAACAGUUAUGGUUUACUUGAUAAUAGUUUUUACAUGGAUAACCGUGGUAAUUCUACAGCUAAUACAUGAGCAAAAUCUCAACUUUAUUAGAAGAGACGCAUUUAUUAGAUAAAAAGCCAAUGCAUGCUUUUACAGUAUGGAAAUUGGUGAUUUAUAAUAACUUAGCAAAUCGCAAAGUGAAAACAGGCGAUAAAUCAUUCAAGUUUCUGACCUAUCAGCUUUCGACGGUAUGGUAUUGGCUUACCGUGGCAGUGACGGUUAACGGGGGAUUAGGGUUCGAUUCCGGAGAGGGAGCCUGAGAAACGGCUACCACAUCUAAGGAAGGCAGCAGGCGCGCAAAUUACCCAAUUCUAACAGUUUGAGAGAGGUAGUAACAAGAAAUAACAAUACAAGGCAAUUAAAAUGCUUUGUAAUUGGAAUGAUAGAAAUUUAAACCCUUUUUAAAGUAUCAAUUGGAGGGCAAGUCUGGUGCCAGCAGCCGCGGUAAUUCCAGCUCCAAUAGCGUAUAUUAAAAUUGUUGCAGUUAAAAAGCUCGUAGUUGAAAUUCUGCUAAAAGUAACCGGUCUGCUUUUAAUAAAAGUGGUAUCUUGGUGUGUAUUUAGCAAUGAUGUCCUUUGAAGUGUUUU
rnacentral:rRNA from 1 species